GAUGAACGCUAGCGGCAGGCUUAAUACAUGCAAGUCGUGGGGCAGCACAGUGUAGCGAUACAUGGGUGGCGACCGGCAAACGGGUGCGGAACACGUACGCAACCUUCCUUUAACUGGAGAAUAGCCCCUCGAAAGAGGGAUUAAUACUCCGUAAUAUCCCGAUGUGGCAUCAUGACGGGAUUAUAGCUCCGGCGGUUAGAGAUGGGCGUGCGCCUGAUUAGGAGUUGGCGGGGUAAUGGCCCACCAAGCCUGCGAUCAGUAACUGGUGUGAGAGCACGA
rnacentral:rRNA from 1 species